rnacentral:misc_RNA from 1 species
UCCGGUUUGUCACUGGCAGUCUCAUUAGAGUGCCCAACUGAAUGUAGCAACUAAUGACAAGGGUUGCGCUCGUUGCGGGACUUAACCCAACAUCUCACGACACGAGCUGACGACAGCCAUGCAGCACCUGUGUUCCGAUUCCCUUUCGGGCACACCCAUAUCUCUGGACGCGUCUGGUGCAUGUCAAACCCAGGUAAGGUUCUUCGCGUUGCAUCGAAUUAAUCCACAUGCUCCGCCGCUUGUGCGGGCCCCCGUCAAUUCCUUUGAGUUUCAUUCUUGCGAACGUACUCCCCAGGUGGCUAACUUAUCGCUUUCGCUUGGACGCGCAAGAUCUCUCCCACACGUCGAGUUAGCAUCGUUUAGGGCGUGGACUAC